AUGCACGCUGGCGGCGUGCCUCAUCCAUGCAAGUCGAGCGAACAGACGGGGAGCUUGCUCCUCUGACGUUAGCGGCGGACGGGUGAGUAACACGUGGAUAACCUACCUAUAAGACUGGGAUAACUUCGGGAAACCGGAGCUAAUACCGGAUAAUAUAUUGAACCGCAUGGUUCAAUAGUGAAAGACGGUUUUGCUGUCACUUAUAGAUGGAUCCGCGCCGCAUUAGCUAGUUGGUAAGGUAACGGCUUACCAAGGCAACGAUGCGUAGCCGACCUGAGAGGGUGAUCGGCCACACUGGAACUGAGACACGGUCCAGACUCCUACGGGAGGCAGCAGUAGGGAAUCUUCCGCAAUGGGCGAAAGCCUGACGGAGCAACGCCGCGUGAGUGAUGAAGGUCUUCGGAUCGUAAAACUCUGUUAUUAGGGAAGAACAAAUGUGUAAGUAACUAUGCACGUCUUGACGGUACCUAAUCAGAAAGCCACGGCUAACUACGUG
rnacentral:rRNA from 1 species